AAACAAUGGAGAGUUUGAUCCUGGCUCAGGAUGAACGCUGGCGGCGUGCCUAAUACAUGCAAGUCGAACGCGGGCACUUGUGCCCGAGUGGCGAACGGGUGAGUAAUACAUAAGUAACCUGGCCUUUACAGGGGGAUAACUGCUGGAAACGGUAGCUAAGACCGCAUAGGUAGGGACACUGCAUGGUGACCGUAUUAAAAGUGCUGCAAGGCACUGGUAGAGGAUGGACUU
rnacentral:rRNA from 1 species